UACAGAGGGUGCGAGCGUUGUUCGGAAUUACUGGGCGUAAAGCGCACGUAGGCGGCUUUGUAAGUUAGAGGUGAAAGCCCGGGGCUCAACUCCGGAAUUGCCUUUAAGACUGCAUCGCUCGAAUUGUGGAGAGGUAAGUGGAAUUCCGAGUGUAGAGGUGAAAUUCGUAGAUAUUCGGAAGAACACCAGUGGCGAAGGCGACUUACUGGACACAUAUUGACGCUGAGGUGCGAAAGCGUGGGGAGCAAACAGG
rnacentral:rRNA from 1 species